CUGCGAUGAUGUCAUUUCUUAGGACACCUUUGGAUUGACCGUGAAAAUAACUCUAAUCUGAGCAGC
ensembl:snoRNA SNORD58 Small nucleolar RNA SNORD58